GAUGGUUUAGUGGUAGAAUAUAUCUUUGCCAAGGAUAUGGUCCGGGUUCGAUUCCCGGU
rnacentral:tRNA from 2 species